CGAUCUAUUCUGUUACUGAGAUAUGUUCCUCUCAACGCUUACCGCCACAUAUCCUCGGCCAGUAGGAGUGUCUGUGUGUAACAAUUACGUGACGCAACCUGUGUAAUUAUUUUUUUCUGUGUAUGAAAUAACUACAAGGACUCGUUCACUCAACGUGUCGCUUAGCAAACCUUCUAUGACUGACCUGUGCAUUAAACAGUCAAGUGAGCCAUCACCCAGCCGACGCCUCGCUAGUGCCCGAGAUGCCACUCCCCGCACCGCAAUAGACGCGCGACCCGUGCCACCAUAACUCAGCUUAACUCGAACAGCACAGCGGCAUGGCAAGGCUUUGAAUCAUACCUCACAACUCUGGCCGUGUGUUAUGUGUGAGUUGGCUACGUCCAGGAGGGAGGAGGGAGGAGAAGGAAGAGGGUAGAGGUAGUGGUGCGUCCCCUCCACCAUUAUGACUCAUUACAAAGUUACUGAGCUGACGUAGAUCCCUCCAGUCUUGCAGUCAUCGGUGCUGUCUUUGGUUUGUCAGUCACGGAAGGAAGGAAGGAAGGAAGGAAGAGGGGGAGAAGCUGCCGGAGUGACCCUACGAGGGGGCAAGGAAGUUUGUCUCUUUCCCUCCACUGCAGAUGACCUCAGAUGUCUAUAGGUCUAAGGCCCCAAAAAUCAACGGAGCAACACGUAGAACCAUUGUGUGCGGCGACGCAGCUGCCGGAAGAACAUGGAAGGUUUACAACGGGCUUCCCUGCGUAUCCACUCCAUAGAACCAUUGUGUGCGGCGACGGAGCUGCCGGAAGAACAUAGAAGCAUUGUGUGCGGCGACGCAGCUGCCGGAAGAACAUGGAAGGUUUACAACGGGCAUCCCUGUGUAUCCACGGCGGCAAGACAGGAAGUGUCGGAAUGAGAGUUAACCCUUAGCACUUCGUAAUGCUACCUCAUCCAAACAGGACGGAAUGGAGAAGUGGAAAGGAGUGAGGCAUCAGGUCUCUCACGUCCCCUCUACAGUGUGAAAGUAAUACCACUACGGAAGGGAGAACCAGACCAGCGUGUCCUGCCAGCUAUCUGCAUCGCUGCUGGGAGGGAAGAACAUAAAAUCAAGUAACCUAAGAAAAUGGAGUUGAGGCUCAAGAGGCCACUUUUACCAUGUGGCCGCCCUUGUCCUCUGCCUUGCUUCAGACCUGCAUCACACCUCUAGUCGUCGUUCGAAAACCUGCUGCCAUCUAGGGGAGAGGGAAGGAAGGAAGCCUCGCCGGUCACGCAUACAUGUCUUGUACUACCUCUGUGAAUGUGCUGACUUUGUAAAUACAUUAUGAAAUGAUUUAAUAAAUUACGAAACUGU